GUGCUUACCGCAGCAACACACACACUAAAACUGGAAUGAUACAGAGAUUAUGAUGGCCCCCAUGCAAGGAUGACACACAAAUUCGUGAAGCGUUCCAUAUUUAC
ensembl:snRNA U6 U6 spliceosomal RNA